CCAAAGAAUAAAGCUCAAGUUUUAGCAAUAGUCACUAGGAGUGGGAAGACACUUGGUGAUCACUUGAAAGAAGAUUUUGGUAAAAAUAUGCCUAAGGUUAAGUCAAAAGAAGUGCAACCACAAUCUCAAGAAGAUGAAGAUGAAAAGGAAUCAGUGGAAGUUGAUGAAGAGGUGGUGGAAAAUGUGAAACCACAAAUUUAUGUGAUGCCUAUAAUACAAGUCCCUCCUUCAUUU
rnacentral:lncRNA from 1 species